AUAGAUUUUUUUAUAUCCAUAUAUCUUUUUAAAAAUAAUGUUUGCCUAGGUUCCGGUUAACGUGUAGACGUCAGCUGUAAGAGAGUAUGAAAUGUUUCAAUGCCUGACACAGCAAAAGAGAAGAGCAAAAUUUAACCAAUGAGCUCUCUCUCCCGAAUCUGGCGGAUACGACUCCCAGCAUGACAUACCAAAACAACUCAUAAAACAGCAUAAAAUAUGUUUUUGUUUUGGUUGAUAGGAUCCCGGACAGAUCAUUGUUGUGGACUGUCUGAGUUUUUAAAGAAAAGUGUCGGAGGGCGAAGGAUUGCGGCAACAAAAAAAUACGCACUGCUUUACGGUACCUGGUCCCCCGACAACGACCAACCAAGCGGCGGCGGACGUGGUACGGAGGACGCUUCUAGAAACCU